rnacentral:rRNA from 1 species
CACGGGGGGAGCAAGCGUUGUUCGGAUUCAUUGGGCGUAAAGGGCUCGUAGGUGGCUUUGUAAGUCGGAGGUGAAAUCCCACGGCUCAACCGUGGACACGCCUUCGAAACUGUGAAGCUUGAGGCUGGGAGAGGAGAUCGGAAUUCCCGGUGUAGCGGUGGAAUGCGUAGAGAUCGGGAAGAACAUCGGUGGCGAAGGCGGCCUGCUGGGCUGUUGCUGACGCUGAGGCGCGACAGCGUGGGGAGCAAACAGG